rnacentral:rRNA from 1 species
GACGAACGCUGGCGGCGUGCUUAACGCAUGCAAGUCGAACGGAAAGGCCCUGCUUUUGUGGGGUGCUCGAGUGGCGAACGGGUGAGUAACACGUGAGUAACCUGCCCUUGACUUCGGGAUAACUUCAGGAAACUGGGGCUAAUACCGGAUAGGAGCUCCUGCUGCAUGGUGGGGGUUGGAAAGUUUCGGCGGUUGGGGAUGGACUCGCGGCUUAUCAGCUUGUUGGUGGGGUAGUGGCUUACCAAGGCUUUGACGGGUAGCCGGCCUGAGAGGGUGACCGGCCACAUUGGGACUGAGAUACGGCCCAGACUCCUACGGGAGGCAGCAGUGGGGAAUAUUGCACAAUGGGCGGAAGCCUGAGGCAGCAACGCCGCGUGCGGGAUGACGGCCUUCGGGUUGUAAACCGCUUUCGCCUGUGACGAAGCGUGAGUGACGGUAAUGGGUAAAGAAGCACCGGCUAACUACGUG